rnacentral:rRNA from 1 species
AUUGAACGCUGGCGGCAGGCCUAACACAUGCAAGUCGAGCGGUAGCACAGGGAGCUUGCUCCUGGGUGACGAGCGGCGGACGGGUGAGUAAUGUCUGGGAAACUGCCUGAUGGAGGGGGAUAACUACUGGAAACGGUAGCUAAUACCGCAUAACGUCGCAAGACCAAAGAGGGGGACCUUCGGGCCUCUUGCCAUCAGAUGUGCCCAGAUGGGAUUAGCUAGUAGGUGGGGUAAUGGCUCACCUAGGCGACGAUCCCUAGCUGGUCUGAGAGGAUGACCAGCCACACGGGAACUGAGACACGGUCCAGACUCCUACGGGAGGCAGCAGUGGGGAAUAUUGCACAAUGGGCGCAAGCCUGAUGCAGCCAUGCCGCGUGUAUGAAGAAGGCCUUCGGGUUGUAAAGUACUUUCAGCGGGGAGGAAGGUGUUGAGGUUAAUAACCUCAGCAAUUGACGUUACCCGCAGAAGAAGCACCGGCUAACUCCGUGCCAGCAGCCGCCGUAA